rnacentral:rRNA from 1 species
AACAGGAUUAGAUACCCUGGUAGUCCACGCCGUAAACGAUGUCGACUAGCCGUUGGGCUCCUUGAGAGCUUUGUGGCGCAGUUAACGCGAUAAGUCGACCGCCUGGGGAGUACGGCCGCAAGGUUAAAACUCAAAUGAAUUGACGGGGGCCCGCACAAGCGGUGGAGCAUGUGGUUUAAUUCGAUGCAACGCGAAGAACCUUACCUACCCUUGACAUCGUGCGAACUUUCCAGAGAUGGAUUGGUGCCUUCGGGAACGCACAGACAGGUGCUGCAUGGCUGUCGUCAGCUCGUGUUGUGAAAUGUUGGGUUAAGUCCCGUAACGAGCGCAACCCUUGUCCUUAUUUGCCAGCGAGUCAUGUCGGGAACUCUAAGGAGACUGCCGGUGACAAACCGGAGGAAGGUGGGGACGACGUCAAGUCAUCAUGGCCCUUACGGGUAGGGCUACACACGUGCUACAAUGGCCGGUACAAAGGGUUGCGAAGCCGCGAGGUGGAGCUAAUCCCGAAAAGCUGGUCUCAGUCCGGAUCGGAGUCUGCAACUCGACUCCGUGAAGUCGGAAUCGCUAGUAAUCGUGAAUCAGAAUGUCACGGUGAAUACGUUCCCGGGCCUUGUACACACCGCCCGUCACACCAUGGGAGUGGACUGCACCAGAAGUGGUUAGCCUAACUUCGGAGGGCGAUCACCACGGUGUGGUUCAUGACUGGGGUGAAGUCGUAACAAGGUAACC